UCCAACAUGCGCGCCAACGAUAUGGUACCAUAACUGAGUUUACAAAACCCCGGGUAUUUUAUUUCAUAUUAUUUUAAGAGUCACCAGGACAUUUCAAAAGGGUGAUUGCCGGUUUAUAUUUUUGUGUCAAUAAAUGCUGCUGCAUUGUAUGUUGUGGGUUUAAAGGGGACAUAUUAUGCUCCUUUUCAACAAGUUUGAAUAAGUCUCAGAGGUCCCCAAAACAUGUCUUUGAAGCUUCUUGCUAAAAAAUCAACUUCGAUCCUAUAUUUCAGCAUGCCUGUAAACCCCUCUUUUUCAGCCCUGUUCAGAACAGGCUGUUUCUGUGUCUGUAGCUUUAAAUGCAAAUGAGCUGUGCCUGACCACGCCCCUCCUCGGAAGGGGAUGCCGUUUGGGCUUCUAGCUCCAUGCUCUAAUGUUUACGGUGACCGUGACCGGCGACCUGGCGUCGGUAGCGAUUUGGUUCAACCACACGACUUUUAUCCAGAAUCUGACCCAGAGGGAGAGGCUGCUGAAGAAGUUCAAACUCUACAACUGCAGCAGGACGUUUCUGAAUGGUGCUCCUGUGGAAACUGUGCAACCAUGCCCACAGAAGCUGAGAAUAUCUGCUGCUAGGAGAUACCACAGGUUACCAGAUGGCUAUGGGAGAUCGAGGAAGAUUUACCAUGUAUGGUAGACCGUCCUGGGUUGGAGCCGCUCUGCCUCAAUGUGUACUCCCUCCAGAAUGCCUGCAACAUGUACCGCACUGACUAUGGUCCUUUACUGUUGAGAGGAAUACACCAGUACGUUUUGCUUCUUUGUAAAAACAUAGUUUCAAUCUGAAUAAAAGAUGUUAGGCAGUCUUGUUUUACUUCAGUGCACAUAAUUUUACAAUGGUAAUAACACACCACAAAUGGAGUAACACACCCUCAAAUAAAUUAGUUUAGCUGCUCUUUGAUUUGUAAAGUUCAUCUAUCAGCAGAUAGUGUGCAUAUAAUAUAUGAAUUCAGAGGAGUCAUUUCUUUAGUAACAAUCAAGCAUUUAUUUACAUCAAAUGAGGGACGUAUAAUCAGUGAUAAUAAAAAAAACUGUAGGAUUCACUGGAUCCAUAAAAAAAAAAAAAAUUGUGAGACACAUCAUAGAUAUAUAUUUGCAAGACUAAAUGCCCUGUCCAGUUGUUUUAGUCGGUGCAGGUAUCUAGCCUAUAGGAGCUUCGUGGGCUUGUGCUGGGGCUUCCUUGGUCGCAGAAUCUGGGUCGUCAUUCCAGCCUGCGUGGUCCUACGCAUCCAUGCCGAGUUUCCUGACGCCACAUGCCAGUACGUGGGUUUUAGACUGCCCCAUGAUAGAACCGGGACACAUAGCUGGAUAUGACCUCCUCCUUCUCCUCUCAGGCCGCUCGAACUGUGCAGUGAGGUCCUCUGGGAUGGGGAUGGCCAAAGCAGCUUCUGUGUAUGGUCCCAGGUCAACAAAGACUUUUUCAAAUAUGAGGUCCACCAUAUUCCCUGUAAGAUUUUGUUUACAUUUUUCACUUUUCUUUGUUAUUUUUUUAACAAAACAAUGACUGAAAGUCUGUUUCUAACUACCUCCUGACAUUUUCUUUACUGCAUUUUGUUGUAGAUGGAACUGUCAUAACAUUAUACAUGCAAUACUUAAUACAAUGUGUACAAAACAUUUUUUGGUUGAAAAAUAAAAUAA